UAGCGUAUAUUAAAGUUGUUGCAGUUAGAACGCUCGUAGUCGGAUUUCGGGGCGGGUCGACCGGUCUGCCGAUGGGUACGCACUGGCCGACGCGUCCUUUUUUUCGGAGACCGUCUCACUCUUAACUGAGCGGAGGCGGGAGACGGAAUUUUUACUUUGAAAAAAUCAGAGUGUUUCAAGCAGGCAGCUCGCUCUUGCAUGGAUUAGCAUGGGAUAAUGAAAUAGGACUUUGGUGCUAUUUUGUUGGUUUCGAACACCGAAGUAAUGAUGAGAAGGGACAGUCAGGGGCACUCGUAUUCCGCCGAGAGAGGUGAAAUUCUCAGACCAGCGGAAGACGAACCACUGCGAAAGCAUUUG
rnacentral:rRNA from 1 species